rnacentral:rRNA from 1 species
CAGGCCUAACACAUGCAAGUCGAACGGCUCUUUCGGGAGCAGAGGCAGACGGGUGAGUAACACGUGGGAACGUGCCCUUUGGUUCGGAACAACUCAGGGAAACUUGAGCUAAUACCGGAUGUGCCCUUUGGGGGAAAGAUUUAUCGCCAUUGGAGCGGCCCGCGUCUGAUUAGCUAGUUGGUGAGGUAAAGGCUCACCAAGGUUUCGAUCAGUAGCUGGUCUGAGAGGAUGAUCAGCCACACUGGGACUGAGACACGGCCCAGACUCCUACGGGAGGCAGCAGUGGGGAAUCUUGCGCAAUGGGCGAAAGCCUGACGCAGCCAUGCCGCGUGAAUGAUGAAGGUCUUAGGAUUGUAAAAUUCUUUCAGCGGGGACGAUAAUGACGGUACCCGCAGAAGAAGCCCCGGCUAACUUCGUGCCAGCAGCCGCGGUAAU